rnacentral:rRNA from 1 species
GGCGGCGUAGCCUAACACAUGCAAGUCGUACGAGAAAGCCGGCUUCGGCUGGUGAGUAAAGUGGCGCACGGGUGAGUAACGCGUGGAUAAUCUGCCCUUAAGUAGUCGGAAUAACGUACCGAAAGGUGCGCUAAUACCGCAUAAUGCCUGGCAACACAAGUUGUCCGGCCAAAGAAGGCCUCUGUUUACAAGCUUUCGCUUCAGGAUGAGUCCGCGUACCAUUAGCUUGUUGGUGGGGUAAUGGCCUACCAAGGCUGCGAUGGUUAGCUGGUCUGAGAGGAUGAUCAGCCACACUGGAACUGAGACACGGUCCAGACUCCUACGGGAGGCAGCAGUGAGGAAUAUUGCGCAAUGGGGGCAACCCUGACGCAGCAACGCCGCGUGAGUGAGGAAGGUUUUCGGACCGUAAAGCUCUGUCGAGUGGGAAGAAGUGUAUCAUGGCUAAUAUCCGUGAUAUUUGACGGUACCGCUAGAGGAAGCACCGGCUAACUCCGUG